GACGAACGCUGGCGGCGUGCUUAACACAUGCAAGUCGUACGGUAAGGCCCUUUCGGGGGUACCCGAGUGGCGAACGGGUGGGUAACACGUGAGUAACCUGCCCACAACUUUGGGAUAACGCUAGGAAACUGGUGCUAAUACUGGAUAUGUGCUCCUGCUGCAUGGCGGGGGUUGGAAAGCUCCGGCGGUUGUGGAUGGACUCGCGGCCUAUCAGCUUGUUGGUGGGGUAGUGGCCUACCAAGGCGGCGACGGGUAGCCGGCCUGAGAGGGUGACCGGCCACAUUGGGACUGAGAUACGGCCCAGACUCCUACGGGAGGCAGCAGUGGGGAAUAUUGCACAAUGGGCGCAAGCCUGAUGCAGCAACGCCGCGUGCGGGAUGACGGCCUUCGGGUUGUAAACCGCUUUCAGCAGGGACGAAGCUUUUUGUGACGGUACCUGCAGAAGAAGCACCGGCUAACUACGUG
rnacentral:rRNA from 1 species